rnacentral:rRNA from 1 species
AUACGUAGGUGACAAGCGUUAUCCGGAUUUACUGGGCGUAAAGGGCGUGUAGGCGGUCUUGCAAGUCAGAAGUGAAAUUCCUGAGCUCAACUCGGGCGCUGCUUCUGAAACUGCAGGACUUGAGUGCUGGAGGGGAUAGCGGAAUUCCUAGUGGAGCGGUAAAAUGCGCAGAUAUUAGGAAGAACACCGGUGGCGAAGGCGGCUAUCUGGACAGUAACUGACGCUGAGGCGCGAAAGCGGGGGGAGCAAACAGGAUUAGAUACCCUGGUAGUCCACGCUGUAAACGAUGAAUACUAGGUGUAGGGGGUAUCGACUCCCUCUGUGCCGCAGUUAACACAAUAAGUAUUCCACCUGGGGAGUACGGCCGCAAGGUUGAAACUCAAAGGAAUUGACGGGG